GAUGAGCGCUGGCGGCGUGCCUAAUACAUGCAAGUCGAGCGAACAGAUAGGGAGCUUGCUCCUCUGACGUUAGCGGCGGACGGGUGAGUAACACGUGGGUAACCUACCUAUAAGACUGGAAUAACUCCGGGAAACCGGAGCUAAUGCCGGAUAACAUUUAGAACCGCAUGGUUCUAAAGUGAAAGAUGGUUUUGCUAUCACUUAUAGAUGGAUCCGCGCCGCAUUAGCUAGUUGGUAAGGUAACGGCUUACCAAGGCAACGAUACGUAGCCGACCUGAGAGGGUGAUCGGCCACACUGGAACUGAGACACGGUCCAGACUCCUACGGGAGGCAGCAGUAGGGAAUCUUCCGCAAUGGGCGAAAGCCUGACGGAGCAACGCCGCGUGAGUGAUGAAGGUCUUCGGAUCGUAAAACUCUGUUAUUAGGGAAGAACAAAUGUGUAAGUAACUGUGCACGUCUUGACGGUACCUAAUCAGAAAGCCACGGCUAACUACGUG
rnacentral:rRNA from 1 species